CCAGACUUCUCUGUCUGCAGUGCUGUGAAGGCUUCAUUUUCACAUUUCUCUUUGGCUGGACGUGUUAACUCCCAGUUUCAGGAGUUCAGGGGUUAACUUUUCAGAUCCUUCUGGAGAAAUUCUUCGUAUUUUUCACCUUCACUCGGAGAUAAAAAGACAACUAAGCGGGGAUUCCCUGGUGGCGCAGUGGUUGAGAAUCUGCCUGCCAAUACAGGGACACGGGUUCAAGCCCUGGUCCAGGAGGAUCCCACAUGCCGCGGAGCAGCAGGAUGAGAGUUAAGGCUUCCGGGCUGACCUUUGGAAGGACCAGGUCGUUGGUACUGUUCUUGGCAGCAUCCCUGUGGAAUGAGCACGUGUAACCUGGGUUUGAAUCCUGUCUCUGCCACCUGUGAACGGCAUGACAGUUCAUCUCUCUGAACAUCAGGUUCCUCAUCGGGAAAAUGGGAUAAUUAUAUUCACCUUCCAGAGUUGCCGUGAGAACUAAGGCAGGUUAAUGUAUGUCACAUGUCCUGGCAGUGUCCCCCCAGGGAAGCAGUGUUAUACAACGGUUACACACCCAGGUCCUAGACCAGAAUCCCACUCCACUACGUUCAGUGACCUUGAAUAGCUUAAUUAAUUCUUCUGGGUCUCAGUUUCUUCACCUCUAAAAUGGGCAUAGUGAUAGCAUCUAUCUCAUCAAGUUGUUUUGAGAAUUAAACAUGGACACUUUUCAUCCCCACAAAGCACUCUCUGAGGCCCAGGACAGAUCAGCCAUAUUGAACUCCAUGACACUGUCCACUAAGUGCUAGCCUGAGUGUGUGAUGAGAAGGUGUCUGCCCCGGCAAAAUUCUCCUGCCAAAGAACUGCCAUGUAGCUCACGCUACACUGCCAUGUAGCGACUGGCUCCACAGCUGAGAGGACAGGAACCCUGGGGUGAUGAUUAGACAAUUGGACCAGAGAGGAAACCAAGGAAUGCUUCCUGGAAGAAGAGAAUCUUGAGCUGGACUUAAAAGCAAAAUUAAAAGCACCUAAGGGGGAAGAGAAGUUACUGGGUCAGAGGAAGGGGCUCUAUCCAUAUUGGCUGUUAGGUUUUCAAGCCAAAUAUCUCACAUUCAAGAAUGGAGCUCUAUAAAUCCAUAAAGAUAGAAAGUAGAUUAGUGGUUGCCAGGGACGGGAAAUGGGGCGUGAAAGCUUAUGCGUGUGGAGUUUCUUUGGGAGGGUAAUGAAAAUGUUCUAAAAUUAAAUAGUGGUAGUGGUUGUACAACUCUGCGAAUAUACUAAAAACCAGCGAACUGCAUACUUUA